UUUUCCUGUGGCAGCAGCCGGGCUGAGAGGAGCGUGGCUGUCUCCUCUCUCCGCCAUGGCGUGUGCUCGCCCACUGAUAUCUGUGUACUCCGAAAAGGGGGAGUCAUCUGGCAAAAAUGUCACUUUGCCUGCUGUAUUCAAGGCUCCUAUUCGACCAGAUAUUGUGAACUUUGUUCACACCAACUUGCGCAAAAACAACAGACAGCCCUACGCUGUCAGUGAAUUAGCAGGUCAUCAGACUAGUGCUGAGUCUUGGGGUACUGGCAGAGCUGUGGCUCGAAUUCCCAGAGUUCGAGGUGGUGGGACUCACCGCUCUGGCCAGGGUGCUUUUGGAAACAUGUGUCGUGGAGGCCGAAUGUUUGCACCAACCAAAACCUGGCGCCGUUGGCAUCGUAGAGUGAACACAACCCAAAAACGAUAUGCCAUCUGUUCUGCCCUGGCUGCCUCAGCCCUACCAGCACUGGUCAUGUCUAAAGGUCUAUGCCUCUCAGCGAAUGAGAGCUGGCAAAGGCAAAAUGAGAAACCGUCGCCGUAUCCAGCGCAGGGGCCCGUGCAUCAUCUAUAAUGAGGAUAAUGGUAUCA
rnacentral:sRNA from 1 species